CAACUUAGAUGGUCCCAUUCCCAAAGAUAUAAAGAAUUUUUCAACCUACAACACUUGGACAUAAGCCAAAACAACUUUUCAGGUUCAAUCCCAAGCAGUAUAGGUAACCUGACCAAACUCACUACCUUGUACCUUUACCAUAACCAACUUUCCAGAAAAAUUCCUUGGGAACUAGGUUAUAUGGUGAAUUUAGAGGACUUUCAGCUCAGUUUGAACAACCUAACUGGUCCUAUCCCAAACAGUUUAGGGAAUUUGACUAAGCUCAGCUUCUUAAAUCUUAAUUUCAACAAAUUUUCUGGACACAUUCCUCAAGAAAUUGCUGAGUUAAUGAAUCUUGAAAUGUUUGGGGUCUCUUUGAACAAUCUAUCUGGUGCAUUGCCAUCGGGUCUUUGCGCGGGAGGCCGACUACAAUUUCUCACCGCUAAUGGCAACAACUUGGUUGGACCCUUGCCAACAAGCUUGCUAAGUUGCAAAAGCCUAGUUAAACUUCAUCUUGAAGGAAAUCAGCUUCAAGGAAAUAUCACCGAGAUGGGGCAUCCGAAUCUUAUCUAUGUUGAUAUCAGUUCAAACAAACUAUUUGGCCAAUUAUCUCAUCACUGGGGUGAGUGUUACAAACUUACGAUGGUACGUGCAUCAAACAACAAAAUUACUGGAGUCAUACCACCAAGCAUAGGGCAGUUAUCUCAGUUGGGGAUACUUGAUUUUUCAUCAAAUAAACUUGAAGGGCAGAUUCCACUGAUUGGCAAUUUAACGGUGUUGUUUAACUUGAGCCUCGGUAAUAACCUGCUCCAAGGAAGUAUACCUAAAGAUAUUGGAUCGCUAAAUAAUGAGUACUUGGAUUUAUCAUCAAACAACCUAAGUGGGAUGAUACAGGGGUCAAUUGAACAUUGUCUCAAGCUUCACUUCCUGAAUUUGAGCCAUAAUUGCCUCAAUGGCAGCAUUGUCGAACUAGGAAUGUUGGUAAACCUACAAGAAUUGUUGGAUCUAAGUGAUAAUUCAUUUGCUAGUGUCAUUCCGAGUCAGCUAGGUGGUUUGAGCAUGCUCGAAGUUUUGAAUCUUUCACACAAUGCACUGAAAGAUAGCAUCCCACCAUCAUUUGAGCGCAUGUUCAGCCUCCUAUCCAUUGAUGUGUCAUUCAACAAAAUGGAAGGGUCGGUGCCAUAGAGUAGGUUGUUUAAAGAAGCUCCAAUCGAAUGGUUCAUGCAGAAUAAGCUAUUGUGUGGUGUAGUGAAAGGUUUGCCCCCUUGUGACCUUAACCAAAAUGGUGGACGGAAAAAGAAGCCCAGAGCUAUUUUACUAGCUAUAAUACCUGUUGUAUCUUUUCUGUUUACCAUGUUACUAGUAACUUUGCAAUGUAAGAGGAAAUCCAAGGUGGAAUGCGCAAAUGAAUUGCAACAGACAAAGUGGUUCUCCAUCUGGAACUUUCAUGGAGGAGAUAUGUACAGGCAAAUUGUUGACGCCACAGAAAAUUUUAGUGACGCUCACUGCAUUGGAAUUGGAAGUAGUGGGUCAAUAUAUAGAGCUCACUUACCAACAUGCGAGAUAUUUGCAGUAAAGAAGAUUCAUACAAUAGAAGAUGACGAGCUAUUUAAUCGUGAAAUAGAUGCCUUGAUGCAUAUUCGGCAUCGCAACAUUGUGAAGUUAUUUGGCUACUGUUCUGCUACUCGAGGAAGAUUUCUUUUGUAUGAAUACAUGGAAAGAGGAAGCUUAGCAACAUCUUUAAGGACCAAGGAAACUGCAAUAGAGUUGGACUGGACAAGGAGGUUAAAUAUUAUUGAGGAUGUGGCCCAUGCUUUGUCUUACAUGCAUCAUGAUUGCUUUGCGCCGAUAGUCCAUAGAGAUAUAACAAGUAACAACGUUUUGCUUGAUCUGGAAUUUAGAGCAUGCAUCUCUGAUUUUGGUAUUGCCAAAAUAUUAGAUGUGGAUGGGUCAAACUGCACAAGGCUUGCCCGGACAAAAUGAUAUCUUGUACCAAAGCUUGCAUACACAACAAGGGUGACGGAUAAGUGCGACGUCUAUAGUUUUGGAGUGCUUGUGCUCGAGUUGUUCAUGGGACAUCAUCCGGGUGAUUUUCUUUCAUCCCUCUCGUCCAUGGACAAGAAAAAUACAAUACCCAAGGAUUUGCUGGACAUCCGACUCCCAUUCCCUAAAGCUGAGAUUGCAAAUGAAAUCUUCAAAGUGAUUGCCAUCGCGGUUCGGUGCAUAGAACCUGACCCAUCAAACCGUCCAAUGAUGCAGGAUGCAAUCAAAGUGUUCUCUGCAGAUGAAGGGCCCGGUAAUCUUGAUUACCUGCACACUGAAAAUGUCAUGACUGCUUCUGGUUUUGAAUGUUCUUAG
rnacentral:rRNA from 1 species